UGUAAAUUGGGCUUGUGAUUCAUGUUGAUAUUUGUUCAAUAUUCUCAGGCCCACUCGACAAAGAAACAGCUGUUUUUUGGACUUUCCAGAAAUAUCAUCUUCAGAAAAAAAAACGCAGUUGGUGAAACACGAUCAACACAAAUCAUCGAAGGUUAUAUAUCAUAGGCUCAUCGAAACAGCUAACUAAAAAUCAAUUUUUUUGAGAAGGUUUGCAUGUCGAAUCCGAAGAACGAUCUGUUUAAUCCAAGGUUGAUUCUGUUCGUUUCAUAUGUCUGAAGAAGUUCUGAAAAAUUAUCUCUCAAGUCUCAAGACAAAAAGAAGAAUUGGAUUUAGAGGAUCCCGAAACAUCAAUCUCUUCAGAUCGUAUAGAUUCCGAUAGCUAUUAUUGGUUCUGUUUGAUGCAUAAGCUUAUUUGAACUUCUAAUUGUGACAAUCUUACCCGUCAUCAGAUAAGUAUCUAUUUAGCAUAUAUAUUCUACAUUCUACUUUGAUAAAAAAAUUGUUAAAGACUUGGACACGAUUUUUUUUUGAUGUCUUCACUUUCUUAUACAGGCAAUUAUAUGCAAUAAAUGAUCAAAUACAAAGUACUAUAGGGUAUUACAAAUGGCAGCAACAGAAGCUAAAACAAAAAAAAUAAGCGUUUAAUAUGUAUUUGAUUGAUAAUCUAAAAAGAAUGAAACAAUACUGAAGCGAUCUAUACUUACAUUUCUGUCUGUGAAGGCGGGGAUUACUUUCACUUGAAUACACCAGCUGGUUUUGAAUGAUUUCACGUCAGAAAGAAUCCAAUAAAAGUUGAACCUUGGGUGUCGAUGGGAUGAAACAUUUAUAAAUAUACAAAGAUUUGGUACAUAUAUUGUCUAAAAAUGUAAAUAAAUGUAUUUUACCAAUCGAACGUUCACGAUGCAUUAUGUCUGGAUAGGAAAUCUAUACUAUUAUUUGCGAAGUGAUUUUUUGCAA